AUUGAACGCUGGCGGCAGGCCUAACACAUGCAAGUCGAGCGGCAGCGGAAAGUAGCUUGCUACUUUGCCGGCGAGCGGCGGACGGGUGAGUAAUGUCUGGGAAACUGCCUGAUGGAGGGGGAUAACUACUGGAAACGGUAGCUAAUACCGCAUAACGUCGCAAGACCAAAGAGGGGGACCUUCGGGCCUCUUGCCAUCAGAUGUGCCCAGAUGGGAUUAGCUAGUAGGUGGGGUAAUGGCUCACCUAGGUGACGAUCCCUAGCUGGGCUGAGGGGGUGACGCGCCACAGUGGAAGUGAGACACGGUCGAGACUCCUACGGGAGGCAGCAGUGGGGAAUAUUGCACAAUGGGCGCAAGCGUGAUGCAGCCAUGCCGCGUGUAUGAAGAAGGCCUUCGGGUUGUAAAGUACUUUCAGCGGGGAGGAAGGUGUUGAGGUUAAUAACCUCAGCAAUUGACGUUACACGCAGAAGAAGCACCGGCUAACUCCGUGCCAGCCGCCGCCGUAA
rnacentral:rRNA from 1 species